AGGCCUUAGAUGUCCAAGCGGACGGGUUGGUCUCCAAAUCCGACCGGGAGGGUGCGAGUCCCUCAGGGCCUGCCA
rnacentral:tRNA from 1 species